UGGGGAAUUUUGGACAAUGGGGGAAACCCUGAUCCAGCCAUCCCGCGUGUGCGAUGAAGGCCUUCGGGUUGUAAAGCACUUUUGGCAGGAAAGAAACGUCAUGGGUUAAUACCCCGUGAAACUGACGGUACCUGCAGAAUAAGCACCGGCUAACUACGUGCAAGCAGCCGCGGUAAUACGUAGGGUGCAAGCGUUAAUCGGAUUUACUGGGCGUAAAGCGUGCGCAGGCGGUUCGGAAAGAAAGAUGUGAAAUCCCAGAGCUCAACUUUGGAACUGCAUUUUUAACUACCAGGCUAGAGUGUGUCAGAGGGAGGUGGAAUUCCGCGUGUAGCAGUGAAAUGCGUAGAUAUGCGGGGGAACACCGAUGGAGAAGGCAGCCUCCUGGGAUAACACUGACGCUCAUGCACGAAAGCGUGGGGAGCAAACAGG
rnacentral:rRNA from 1 species